CUUUAUUGGAGAGUUUGAUCCUGGCUCAGGACGAACGCUGGCGGCGUGCCUAAUACAUGCAAGUCGAGCGGACAGAUGAGGAGCUUGCUCCUCUGAUGUUAGCGGCGGACGGGUGAGUAACACGUGGGCAACCUACCUGUAAGACGGGGAUAACUCCGGGAAACCGGAGCUAAUACCGGAUAAUAAAGAGAAACGCCUGUUUCUUUUUU
rnacentral:rRNA from 1 species